rnacentral:tRNA from 1 species
GGCAAUGUUGUCUAAUGGUUAAGACCUGAGUUUGCAAAACUCAUUAUAGCAGUUCGAGUCUGCUCUUUGCCU